GAUGAACGCUGGCGGUAUGCCUAACACAUGCAAGUCGUACGAGAGUUUUUAACUCUAGUGGCGGACGGGUGAGUAACACGUGAGAAUUUGCCUUUAGGAGGGGGAUAACAAUUGGAAACGAAUGCUAAUACCCCAUAUGCUUUUGAGUGAAAUGGAUUUUAUCCGCCUAGAGAGAAGCUCGCGGCUGAUUAGCUUGUUGGUAAGGUAAGAGCUUACCAAGGCGACGAUCAGUAUCUGGUUUGAGAGGACGAUCAGACACACUGGAACUGAGACACGGUCCAGACUCCUACGGGAGGCAGCAGUGGGGAAUUUUCCGCAAUGGGCGAAAGCCUGACGGAGCAAUACCGCGUGAGGGAAGACUGCCUAUGGGUUGUAAACCUCUUUUCAGGGAGGAAUAAAUGACGUGUACCUGAAGAAUAAGCAUCGGCUAACUCCGUG
rnacentral:rRNA from 1 species